AAAAUUCAGUAGUAUAUAAGACAGCUAAUGUGUGCGACCUUCCUAUGUGUUUUCAAAUCGUUUCUCUUAGUUAACAGCUUGAUACGUUAGAUAGACUCAAUAUGUAUAGAGUAAGUGAGUGAGUGGCAAAAUUAAAAAAAAAAGUCAUGAGUGUAUAUACCCAAGGCCUUGUACUGAACGAUUGUCUUAUGACAGAUCUUCUUUUAUGAUUUAACCCAAAUGUAUCAGCAUACAUUGAAGUAUUGAAAGAACACAUUAAUUGCUAGUGAAUUGAAAGAAUGACAGUAAACCUUCUAAUGUAGUAGGAUUGUUUA